AUAUUAACCUGGACGGAGUCUUUGAGCGAUCAAGAAGCCUCAUGGCUUGGGUUAGAGAUUCCCAUUGCACUCUGAAAAGUUCUCCUAAGGUCUGUCCAACGUGGCAGAACCUACGUCGUAAUUUGGGGUAGUGGGGGCUUGCGUUCGCGCAGCCUCUGA